GACGAACGCUGGCGGCGUGCUUAACACAUGCCAGUCGAACGGAAAGGCCCUGCUUUUGUGGGGUGCUCGAGUGGCGAACGGGUGAGUAACACGUGAGUAACCUGCCCUUGACUUUGGGAUAACUUCAGGAAACUGGGGCUAAUACCGGAUAGGAGCUCCUGCUGCAUGGUGGGGGUUGGAAAGAUUCGGUGGUUGGGGAUGGACUCGCGGCUUAUCAGCUUGUUGGUGGGGUAGUGGCUUACCAAGGCUUUGACGGGUAGCCGGCCUGGGAGGGUGACCGGCCACAUUGGGACUGAGAUACGGCCCAGACUCCUACGGGAGGCAGCAGUGGGGAAUAUUGCACAAUGGGCGGAAGCCUGAUGCAGCAACGCCGCGUGCGGGAUGACGGCCUUCGGGUUGUAAACCGCUUUCGCCUGUGACGAAGCGUGAGUGACGGUAAUGGGUAAAGAAGCACCGGCUAACUACGUG
rnacentral:rRNA from 1 species